rnacentral:rRNA from 1 species
GACGAACGCUGGCGGCGUGCUUAACACAUGCAAGUCGAGCGGUAAGGCCCUUUCGGGGGUACACGAGCGGCGAACGGGUGAGUAACACGUGGGUGACCUGCCUUUAGCUCUGGGAUAAGCCUGGGAAACCGGGUCUAAUACCGGAUAUGACUCCGCGGCGCAUGUUGUGGGGUGAAAGCCUUGUGCGGCUGGAGAUGGGCCCGCGGCCUAUCAGCUUGUUGGUGGGGUGAUGGCCUACCAAGGCGACGACGGGUAGCCGGCCUGAGAGGGCGACCGGCCACACUGGGACUGAGACACGGCCCAGACUCCUACGGGAGGCAGCAGUGGGGAAUCUUGCGCAAUGGGCGAAAGCCUGACGCAGCGACGCCGCGUGAGGGAUGACGGCCUGG